GCCGCGGGGUGAAUGUGCAGGGGCCGAGGAUUCACUGACAUUUGAUGACUUGGCAUAGUGCCUCACAAAAAGGGAGUGAUUGACGCUGGACACUGAGCAGAGGACACUGGCGUGUUACGGGAACGUGACUUCCGAGUUCCUGUUUGGAAUUCUCUUUUGGUCUCUCACCUGGUGCAAAGACACGUGCUGUUAGUGUCAGACCCUUAACACAGAUCGAGCUAAAUAUUCUGGUAAGUGAAAAGGAAUCC
rnacentral:lncRNA from 1 species